rnacentral:tRNA from 1 species
CGCGGGGUGGAGCAGUUCGGUAGCUCGUCGGGCUCAUAACCCGAAGGUCGCAGGUUCAAAUCCUGUCCCAGCAACCA